AUUGAACGCUGGCGGCAGGCUUAACACAUGCAAGUCGAGCGAGCGGCGGACGGGUGAGUAAUGUAUGGGGACUGCCCGAUAGAGGGGGAUAACUACUGGAAACGGUGGCUAAUACCGCAUACUAUCGGAUAACCCAUAUGGGAUUAGCUAGUAGGUGGGGUAAAGGCUCACCUAGGCGACGAUCUCUAGCUGGUCUGAGAGGAUGAUCAGCCAGACUGGGACUGAGACAAGGCCCAGACGCCUACGGAGGCAGCAGUGGGGAAUUUUGGACAAUGGGGGCAAGCCUGAUGCAGCCAUGCCGCGUGUAUGACGAAGGCCUUGGGGUUGUAAAGUACUUUCAGCGGGGAGGCGUUAGCUGCAGAAGAAGCACCGGCUAACUCCGUGCCAGCCGCCGCGGUAAUAC
rnacentral:rRNA from 1 species